GGGCCAUUAGCUCAGCUGGUAGAGCAACAGACUCUUAAUCUGUGGGUCAAAGGUUCGAUCCCUUUAUGGCUCA
rnacentral:tRNA from 2 species